UUUCAGGUUACCUUGCAGCUUUAGCAACCAAGCUGUACUUGGAUCAUAUGUUGUUCAAGGUGACGUAGGAGAUUAUGAAGCACGAGAACAUGGUGAUGAUUAUCUAGAUGGCAUGGUUUUUGCUCCAAAUCAGACACCAGAAUUGCUUGAAAAGAUACGACAACUACACAAGGGAAAUAGGGGUCUUAGUCCUGAAGAUGCUGACCUUCAGUACUUAAAGUUUGCAGCAUCUAAACUUGUUAUGUAUGGUGUGGAUGCACAUCCUGCCAGG